CAGCGCACUCCGGGGUCGGUGUAAUUCCGAACCGGCGGUUACAGUCCGCGACCCGCUCGCUUCCAGUGAGCGGUUGACCAGGUGGAAUUCCUGGACCGACGGUGAAAGUCCGGAUGGGAGGCAGUGCGCGG
rfam:Streptomyces sp. SPB74 genomic scaffold supercont3.1, whole genome shotgun sequence.